rnacentral:rRNA from 1 species
CUCAUGGUUUCACGGUAUUGCAAUGAGAACAAUUUAAAACCCUUAGCGAGAAUCAGGUGGAGGACAAGUCUGGUGCCAGCACCCGCGGUAAUUCCAGCUCCACUAGCGUAUAUUAAGGUUGUUGCAGUUAAAAAGCUCGUAGUUGAACCUCUGUCUGGGGCUAGUUUUGGCUUUGGUCAGGCUAGUUCUAGGCAUCCGCCUACAAGACUUGGAGGGCAUUCGUUGUUCACUAGGAGGAGUAGGCAUUUUACUUUGAAAAAAUUAGAGUGUUUAAGGCAGGCAAUCGCCCGCAUAUAUUAGCAUGGAAUAAUAGAAUAGGACACUUUUCCAUUUCGUUGGUUAUUGGAAUCGUGUAAUGAUUAAUAGGGACAGUUGUGGGCAUUUGUAUUUAAUUGUCAGAGGUGAAAUUCUUGGAUUUAUUAAAGACAAACUAACGCGAAAGCAUUUGCCAAGGAUGUUUUCAUUAAUCAAGAACGAAAGUUAGGGGAUCAAAGACGAUCAGAUACCGUCCUAGUCUUAACUAUAAACUAUUCCGACUCAAUGUUUGACUGGCUUAUAUAACCAGUUGAGCGUUGUAUGAGAAAUCAAAGUCUUUAGGUUCUGGGGGGAGUAUGGUUGCAAAGCUGAAACUUAAAGGAAUUGACGGAAGAGCACAACCAGGAGUGGAUUCUGCGGCUUAAUUUGACUCAACACGGGGAAACUUACCAGGUUAAAACAAUAGUGGGAUUGACAGUUUGAGAGCGCUUUCUUGAUUGGUUGGGUGGUGGUGCAUGGCCGUUCUUAGUUGGUGGAGUGAUUUGUCUGCUUAAUUGCGUUAACGAACGAGACCUUAACCUGCUUACUAGACUGGCGAUCAUCAAUCGUUAGCUCUUCUUAGAGGGACUUUGGUUGUUUUAACUCCAAGGAAGUUUGAGGCAAUAACAGGUCUGUGAUGCCCUUAGAUAUCCUGGGCCGCACGCGUCAUACUAUGACUAGUUCAGAAAGUUUUCUCCUGACCCGAAAGGGGAUGGGUAAUCUUGAUAAUACUAGUCGUGUUAGGGAUCGAUCUUUGCAAUUAUAGAUCUUGUACGAGGAAUUCCUAGUAAGUGCGGUUCAUCAGACCGUACUGAUUACGUCCCUGCUCUUUGUACACACCGCCCGUCGCUUCUACCGAGUGGGUGGUCCGGUGAGAUAAUUGAACUUCGCAGGUAACUGAGAGGAAAGAUUAUCAAACCUAUCCACCU